UCAAAGGACCUUAUACAGGAUG
rnacentral:miRNA from 1 species